GAUGAACGCUAGCUACAGGCUUAACACAUGCAAGUCGAGGGGAAACGGCAUCGAAAGCUUGCUUUUGAUGGGCGUCGACCGGCGCACGGGUGAGUAACGCGUAUCCAACCUGCCCAUCACUUGGGAAUAACCUUGCGAAAGUAAGACUAAUGCCCAAUGACAUCCCACGAAGGCAUCCGAAUGGGAUUAAAGAUUUAUCGGUGAUGGAUGGGGAUGCGUCUGAUUAGCUUGUUGGCGGGGUGACGGCCCACCAAGGCAACGAUCAGUAGGGGUUCUGAGAGGAAGGUCCCCCACAUUGGAACUGAGACACGGUCCAAACUCCUACGGGAGGCAGCAGUGAGGAAUAUUGGUCAAUGGGCGAGAGCCUGAACCAGCCAAGUAGCGUGCAGGAUGACGGCCCUAUGGGUUGUAAACUGCUUUUAUAGGGAAUAAAGUGGGUCACGUGUGACUUUUUGCAUGUACCUUAUGAAUAAGGACCGGCUAAUUCCGUG
rnacentral:rRNA from 1 species